GAUGAACGCUGGCGGCGUGCCUAAUACAUGCAAGUCGAGCGAAUGGAUUAAGAGCUUGCUCUUAUGAAGUUAGCGGCGGACGGGUGAGUAACACGUGGGUAACCUGCCCAUAGGACUGGGAUAACUCCGGGAAACCGGGGCUAAUACCGGAUAACAUUUUGAACCGCAUGGUUCGAAAUUGAAAGGCGGCUUCGGCUGUCACUUAUGGAUGGACCCGCGUCGCAUUAGCUAGUUGGUGGGGUAACGGCUCACCAAGGCAACGAUGCGUAGCCGACCUGAGAGGGUGAUCGGCCACACUGGGACUGAGACACGGCCCAGACUCCUACGGGAGGCAGCAGUAGGGAAUCUUCCGCAAUGGACGAAAGUCUGACGGAGCAACGCCGCGUGAGUGAUGAGGGCUUUCGGGUCGUAAAACUCUGUUGUUAGGGAAGAACAAGUGCUAGUUGAAUAAGCUGGCACCUUGACGGUACCUAACCAGAAAGCCACGGCUAACUACGUGCCAGCCGCCGCAGUAA
rnacentral:rRNA from 1 species